UCCUCUUUCUCUCACACUAUAGUCACUAUUAGUCAGAUCUCUCUCCUCUCACAGUCACCACGCACGCACUCUGCACUCACGCUCUCAUUCUCUGAUUUCCCAAGCUGGCCAAGCACCACCACCGGCCACCACCACGCCGGCCGCCGCCGCCGCACCACCACGUGCCACUCUCCAGCCGUGCGCCCCUGCCUUUGGCCGUGCCUCUGCAGUUCUAAUUUCUACAGCUCAUACAAAUAAUCAUAUACAACUCCUGCCCGGGUCCUCGCACUGAGAUAGCCAUAGCCCAUAAGUCCAUAUGCUCUAUGAUCUUUUGCCUAACUUUGUGAACUGCAUCAGGUGAUCAGGGGAUGUGCACUUCUUCUCAUUACCUUAAAUGUUAAACGGAUAUAGUGUUGAUACAUUUUAAAUUUAUACUUUCAUUUCAAAUUUGUUUCAUUUACUGGAAUAAUUUUAGUGUUGCCUAUAUUGAAAAGAAUUGAGUUAGAACUGAAAAUACAUUGACUAUUUGAUUGUGUUGAGCUGCAAGCAUCAUGGUUUUGUUGAUUUAUAAAUAAUGGCAUGGUGAGCACCAACAUGUGAUGGAUCACUUGCUAUAUCUUACAGGGUGUUUUGUCUUUUGUAACCUAUGGUGUUACUGUAUCAUCUUUUGCUUUCUUGGGGCUGGGUAGUAAGGUAGUUAUUAAUGUUGUUUGGAUAACUUAACUAUGAAGUAUGUUGCUGUCCUUAGUUCUUAGUGAUUACUUGGGUCUGAUUUGUGUGUAAGGUAAUUGAUUUCUCAAACGUUGUAUUGCUGUUAGCACUCCUUGUGCUUGAUUUUAAUGAAUGCUUUGCUUAUCAAAAAUAAAUAAAUAAUGGCAUGGUAACUUGCCAUUCCAAUUGGCAGCUCAAUUGUUUGUAUAUGCAAGCUGCUGCAAAUUACCUUGUUCUGAUAUGAAUCAAAGUGUUUAAUUAAAUGCUUAAUUAUAUUAUUAA